AUACGGAGGAUGCAAGCGUUAUCCGGAUUUAUUGGGUUUAAAGGGUGCGUAGGCGGUUUGCUAAGCGGGAGGUGAAAUGCCGGCGCUCAACGUCGGAAGUGCCUCCCGAACUGGUGGACUUGAAUGACUCUGCCGUGGGAGGAAUGUGUAGUGUAGCGGUGAAAUGCUUAGAGAUUACACAGAACACCGAUUGCGAAGGCAUCUCACGAAGGGUUGAUUGACGCUGAGGCACGAAAGCGUGGGGAUCAAACAGGAUUAGAUACCCUGGUAGUCCACGCAGUAAACGAUGAUGGCUAACCGCUGGGCUUAUCAGUUCAGUGGCCAAGCGAAAGCGAUAAGCCAUCCACCUGGGGAGUUCGACCGCAAGGUUGAAACUCAAAUGAAUUGACGGGG
rnacentral:rRNA from 1 species